rnacentral:rRNA from 1 species
CUAAUUUAUUCUGUCUCAUUUUAAUAUUUUUAAUUUUAUAUUUUAGUAAAAAAGCUAAAAUUUACUUUUAAGACGAGAAGACCCUAUCAAGCUUUAUAAUUAAUGUUUAUUUUCAAAAUAAAUUUAAGAUUAUUUUACUGGGGCAGUGAAUAAACUAAUUUUAUUUUAUUAUUGUAAGAUAUAACUUUAGUAAAAUCAAAAAAUUUUUAAAUAAAAAUAAGUUACUGUAGGGAUAACAGCAUUAUUUUUUUUAAGAGAUCUUAUCAUCAAAAAAGUUUGUGACCUCGAUGUUGGAUUAAGAUUCCUAUUUAGCGCAAUAGCUUAAUAAGG